CUGUGGUGCAUUGUAGUUGCAUUGCAUGUGAUAUCAGCGGUGUGCAAUGUGCCUGCAGUGCAACACAG
ensembl:miRNA xtr-mir-33a xtr-mir-33a